rnacentral:misc_RNA from 1 species
CAACAGCAGUAAAGGAGGUGAUCCAGUGUCAAGAAAGGUAUUGGAGCAAGGAGUCGGAACAGCUUGGGGGGAUGCCCGGUAAGGCAACCCUUGGCGGGGAUCCCGCCCAAGGCGAUCUGGCACAGGUCGAUCCGACCCUGCCUCCGAAUGACUUUCGAAAGGGCUGCCCGAGUAAUCGAGCGGCCCU